rnacentral:lncRNA from 1 species
CUGUCAGGGGUUCAGGGACAGAGGCACAGGGUAGGCAGGAGAUGGAGAGCGAUGGGGAUGAAUCCCAAGACAGCGAGGAAGAGGAUGACAAUGACUCAAGAGAUUCCAUGAGUCUUUCCAGCGAAUCAGAGGAUUCCCAGAAGGGGGCGCCGGUGGUCAAGGCCAGGGGAGCCCCAGGGGGAACGUGUCAGGAGCAGGGGGCCAGCGGGGGAUCCCAAAGUGGCAGCUGGGCGUCAGGACCAGCCUCCCCGCCAGAGUGCAGCGAAGGGGGUGGAGGUUCCAGUGUAUCAGGGGAAGCAGCUCCGGCAGCAGAGAAGGGAGGGAGGUCGGAGCAAGCCACCCUCCCGGAAGGGGAGGGGAGUAGUGAAGGGAGUAGUGUAGCUGUCAAAAGGAAGGUUAGAGGUUGGGCGCGCGCGCCAAGUUCAAAUGUAGAGGCGCGCGGAAGUACAGGGAGCCCGGAGGAGGGGCCAGGUCCCAAAGCCCGCAGGAGGGGGCAAGAGCAAUCUGGGGAUUCCGCGUCAGGGGAAUCCAGGAGGGGCGAAACCCCAGCGGGCAGGAAGACCC